AUGGUUAAGCUGUCACCUCACGGACGACCUCCCUCCGGUGCCCUUGCGGACGAGAUGCCCGGCGCCCUUGACGGCCGGCGCCCGCGCGGACAUGUACCUCGCGCCAUCCGCCCCGCCCAACCCUGCAAUCCAAACCGAACCACCGGUGAGAUCCGCCCUCCCAUGCCACGCGCGGGGAGGCCGACGGGUGGCCACGGGGAGAUCCCUCCCCGGGCCGCGCGCAUCUCGGCCGAUGCGUACGUACCUUGGGGCCCGAGCGCCGGCUGGGCGGCGGAUCUGAAGGCGGCGAUGGCGGCCGAGGAGGCCGGGGAGAGGUGGUGCUGGUCGAGGAGGUGGCGCCGCGUCGCCGCCGCCGCCGCCUGCAUCGUCGCCGCCGUCGGUGGUGGUCGUCGGAGUCGGACGAGGGGAGGGAAGAGGAGGCCGAGACCCGAGAGCUGUGGUGUGUGGUGA
rnacentral:rRNA from 1 species